UUAAAACAGCCCCAAUUAAACCCUUCUCUUUCCAUUUCUCCCUCUUUCCCUCUCACAUUUUUGAGGUCCCUCUCUCUCUAAACCUAAUACACCAUCGACGUCACCAAGUGUAGGGAGUCACCGUCGCCAUCGUCCACACCUAGUACCGCCGUUGCCAUCACCAGUUAUCAUCAACAUUUGAGGAAAAAUGUGUCUGGCGCCCGGAACAUGAGACGCAGCUAGCUCAAAACUUCAAGAAGAAAGCUCAGCGCUUACUAUGUUUGAAUGUUAAUGUUGUGGUGGAUUUGUGGAUUGUGUAAGUGUUUUGUGGAUGUUUGCGAGCGGUGAAAAUGUUGUAGACUAACUUAGUCUAAUGUUGUAGACUAAUUUAGUGUAGAUCUACUAGUUUAAUGUUUUGUGGAUGUUUGCAAAGGUUGUGAAGUAGUUUAAUGUUGUGUAGAUGUUUGCGAAAGUUGAAGUAGCUUAAUGUCUCUUCAGAAUGUUUGAAGGACGUUUUGAUUCAACUUUGAAGUAGUUUCGAAUUGAAUUUGACGUAUUGUUGAUUGUAAUAUAUGUGGUUGUUGAAGUAA